AGAGCGAACGCUGGCGGCAGGCCUAACACAUGCAAGUCGAGCGCCCCGCAAGGGGAGCGGCAGACGGGAGAGUAACACGUGGGAACGUGCCCUUUGGUUCGGAACAACACAGGGAAACUUGUGCUAAUACCGGAUAAGUCCGUAAGGAGAAAGAUUUAUCGCCAAAGGAUCGGCCCGCGUCUGAUUAGCUAGUUGGUGAGGUAACGGCUCACCAAGGCGACGAUCAGUAGCUGGUCUGAGAGGAUGAUCAGCCUCACUGGGACUGAGACACGGCCCAGACUCCUACGGGAGGCAGCAGUGGGAAUAUUGGACAAUGGGCGCAAGCCUGAUCCAGCCAUGCCGCGUGGAUGAUGAAGGCCCUAGGGUUGUAAAGUCCUUUCGACGGGGAAGAUAAUGACGGUACCGUAGAGAGCCCGCUAACUCGUGCCAGCAGCCGC
rnacentral:rRNA from 1 species